rnacentral:rRNA from 1 species
UACAGAGGGUGCGAGCGUUGUCCGGAAUUACUGGGCGUAAAGGGCGCGUAGGCGGCUUUUCAAGUCGGGCGUGAAAUCUCCGGGCUUAACCCGGAAAGGUCAAUCGAUACUGCGGGGCUAGAGUGCAGAAGGGGCAACUGGAAUUCUUGGUGUAGCGGUGAAAUGCGUAGAUAUCAAGAGGAACACCUGCGGCGAAGGCGGGUUGCUGGGCUGACACUGACGCUGAAGCGCGAAAGCUAGGGGAGCGAACGGG